rnacentral:sRNA from 1 species
GUAAAGUCACUAGAAACUGAAAGAAAACAUUCUUAAGAUAAAUUGAAUUGACAUUUUCUCUCUAAAAUAUGGUUUAUAGACCAUAGAUAGGAAUUAAGAGUUUCCUGAUAAUUUUGGCUUCAUAUUAUUUUAAAGGAUUAUCAAGAGGAAAUUGCUAUUGCUCAAGAGAACAAGAUACAGCUCCAACAAAUGGGAGAACGACUUGCUAAAGCCAGCCAUGAAAGCAAAGCAUCUGAGAUUGAAUACAAGCUGGGAAAGGUCAACGACCGGUGGCAGCAUCUCCUGGACCUCAUUGCAGCCAGGGUGAAGAAGCUGAAGGAGACCCUGGUAGCCGUGCAGCAGCUUGAUAAGAACAUGAGCAGCCUGAGGACCUGGCUCGCUCACAUCGAGUCAGAGCUGGCCAAGCCAAUAGUCUACGAUUCCUGUAACUCGGAAGAAAUACAGAGAAAGCUUAAUGAGCAGCAGGAGCUUCAGAGAGACAUAGAGAAGCAUAGUACAGGUGUUGCAUCUGUCCUCAACCUGUGUGAAGUCCUGCUGCACGACUGUGAUGCCUGUGCCACUGAUGCCGAGUGUGACUCUAUACAGCAGGCUACGAGAAACCUGGACCGGCGGUGGAGAAACAUUUGUGCUAUGUCCAUGGAAAGGAGGCUCAAAAUCGAAGAGACGUGGAGAUUGUGGCAGAAAUUUCUGGAUGACUAUUCACGUUUUGAAGAUUGGCUGAAGUCUUCAGAAAGGACAGCUGCUUUUCCCAGCUCUUCUGGGGUGAUCUAUACAGUUGCCAAGGAAGAACUAAAGAAAUUUGAGGCUUUCCAGCGACAGGUCCACGAGUGCCUGACGCAGCUGGAACUGAUCAACAAGCAGUACCGCCGCCUGGCCAGGGAGAACCGCACUGAUUCAGCGUGUAGCCUCAAACAGAUGGUUCACGAAGGCAACCAGAGAUGGGACAACCUGCAAAAGCGCGUCACCUCCAUCUUGCGCAGACUCAAGCAUUUUAUUGGCCAGCGUGAGGAGUUUGAGACUGCGCGGGACAGCAUUCUGGUCUGGCUCACAGAGAUGGAUCUGCAGCUCACUAAUAUUGAACAUUUUUCUGAGUGUGAUGUUCAAGCUAAAAUUAAGCAACUCAAGGCCUUCCAGCAGGAAAUUUCACUGAACCACAAUAAGAUUGAGCAGAUAAUUGCCCAAGGAGAACAGCUGAUAGAAAAGAGUGAGCCCUUGGAUGCGGCGAUCAUCGAGGAGGAACUAGAUGAGCUCCGACGGUACUGCCAGGAGGUCUUUGGGCGUGUGGAAAGAUACCAUAAGAAACUGAUCCGCCUGCCUCUCCCAGACGAUGAGCACGACCUCUCAGAUAGGGAGCUGGAGCUGGAAGACUCUGCAGCUCUGUCGGACCUGCACUGGCAUGACCGCUCUGCAGACAGCCUGCUUUCUCCACAGCCUUCCUCCAACCCCUCCCUCUCGCUCGCUCAGCCCCUCCGGAGCGAGCGGUCAGGACGAGACACCCCGGCUAGUGUGGACUCCAUCCCCCUGGAGUGGGAUCACGACUAUGAUCUCAGUCGGGACCUGGAGUCUGCAAUGUCCAGAGCUCUGCCCUCUGAGGAUGAAGAGGGUCAGGACGAUAAAGAUUUCUACCUCCGGGGAGCUGUUGGCUUAUCAGAUGUAAUGAUCCCUGAAAGCCCUGAGGCCUAUGUAAAACUCACAGAAAAUGCAAUCAAAAAUACCUCCGGGGACCACAGUGCCCUAGAGUCACAGAUCCGACAACUGGGCAAAGCCCUGGAUGAUAGCCGCUUUCAGAUACAGCAAACUGAAAAUAUCAUUCGCAGCAAAACUCCCACGGGGCCGGAGCUAGACACCAGCUACAAAGGCUACAUGAAACUGCUGGGCGAAUGCAGUGGCAGUAUAGACUCCGUGAAGAGACUGGAGCACAAACUGAAGGAGGAAGAGGGGAGCCUUCCCGGCUUUGUUAACCUGCAUAGUACUGAAACCCAAACGGCUGGUGUGAUUGACCGAUGGGAGCUUCUCCAGGCCCAGGCAUUGAGCAAGGAGUUGAGGAUGAAGCAGAACCUCCAGAAGUGGCAGCAGUUUAACUCAGACUUGAACAGCAUCUGGGCCUGGCUGGGGGACACGGAGGAGGAGCUGGAACAGCUCCAGCGUCUGGAACUCAGCACUGACAUCCAGACCAUCGAGCUCCAGAUCAAAAAGCUCAAGGAGCUCCAGAAAGCUGUGGACCACCGCAAAGCCAUCAUCCUCUCCAUCAAUCUCUGCAGCCCCGAGUUCACCCAGGCUGACAGCAAGGAGAGCCGGGACCUGCAGGAUCGCUUGUCGCAGAUGAAUGGGCGCUGGGACCGAGUGUGCUCUCUGCUGGAGGAGUGGCGGGGCCUGCUGCAGGAUGCCCUGAUGCAGUGCCAGGAUUUCCAUGAAAUGAGCCAUGGUUUGCUUCUUAUGCUGGAGAACAUUGACAGAAGGAAAAAUGAAAUUGUCCCUAUUGAUUCUAACCUUGAUGCAGAGAUACUUCAGGACCAUCACAAACAGCUUAUGCAAAUAAGGCAUGAGCUGUUGGAAUCCCAACUCAGAGUAGCCUCUUUGCAAGACAUGUCUUGCCAACUACUGGUGAAUGCUGAAGGAACAGACUGUUUAGAAGCCAAAGAAAAAGUCCAUGUUAUUGGAAAUCGGCUCAGACUUCUCUUGAAGGAGGUCAGUCGUCAUAUCAAGGAACUGGAGAAGUUAUUAGACGUGUCAAGUAGUCAGCAGGAUUUGUCUUCCUGGUCUUCUGCUGAUGAACUGGACACCUCAGGGUCUGUGAGUCCCACAUCAGGAAGGAGCACCCCAAACAGACAGAAAACGCCACGAGGCAAGUGUAGUCUCUCACAGCCUGGACCCUCUGUCAGCAGUCCACAUAGCAGGUCCACAAAAGGUGGCUCCGAUUCCUCCCUUUCUGAGCCUGGGCCAGGUCGGUCCGGCCGCGCCUUCCUGUUCAGAGUCCUCCGAACAGCUCUUCCCCUUCAGCUUCUCCUGCUCCUCCUCAUUGGGCUCGCCUGCCUUGUACCAAUGUCAGAGGAAGACUACAGCUGUGCCCUCUCCAACAACUUUGCCCGGUCAUUCCACCCCAUGCUCAGAUACACGAAUGGCCCUCCUCCACUCUGAACUAAGCAGAUGCCAUCUGCAGAAGUGCUGGUAGCAUAAGGAGGAUCGGGUCAUAAGCAAUCCCAAACUACCAACAAGAGGACCUUGAUCUUGGUGAAAGCCCUCCGUGUGGCAGCUUGAGCCCUCCUCCAGAUCACAUGUGUGCAAAUCAUGGCUUCAGAGGUGGAAGAUAAACAGUGACAGGGGAACAAAGAGACAACAAGAAGGUUUGGAAGAAAUCUGGUUUGAGACUCUGAACCUUAGCACUAAGGAGAUGAGUAAGGACCUCCAAAGUUCCCUGAGCUCAUGAAUUCUGGGCCCUUGGCCCAUUCUAUGCAUAGCCAAGGACUUCAGUAGACCAUCUGGGCAGCUUUCCCAUGGUGCUGCUCCAACCAUCAGAUAAAUGUCCCUCCCAAGCACCAUGUCAGUGUCGUACAAUCUACCAACCAACUAGUGCUGAAGAGAUUUUAGAACCUUGUAACAUACAAUUUUUAAGAGCUUAUAUGGCAGCUUCCUUUUUACCUUGUUUUCCUUUGGGGCAUGAUGUUUUAACCUUUGCUUUAGAAGCACAAGCUGUAAAUCUAAAAGGCACUUUUUUUAGAGGUAUAAAGAAAAACUAGAUGUAAUAAAUAAGAUCAUGGAAGGCUUUAUGUGAAAAAAGUUCAAUGUUAUAGU